ACCGUUAUUCAAGGCAAAAUCUGUGAUCCAAAUGCAACCAUUGGUGACCCCACUACCACCAAACUUUAAAACAGGAAUUGAAGACUGAGCACCAUGAAUCUGUUACGUCUAGUAUGCCGCCACAAGACAGCCCUGGUCAUUGGUACCGUGUGCAGCUUCGCUGUCGUUCUGGUCUUCUUGGCCAAAUGUACCUCCGAAACCCUGAAACAGGGCCACCAGGAUCCUCCAGGCUUAGCCCCUCGUGCCAAUGCUUUGCAAUCCCGUCCAGAGCAGCAUGAUUCACCUUCCACAUCCAAAGAAUUGUCAGCAUUCCUUGUGGUCCUCAUCACAACCGGCCCUAAGUACACAGAACGAAGGAGUAUCAUCCGGAGCACCUGGCUGGCCAAGCGGGACUCUGAUGUUCUGGCUAUGUUUGUGGUGGGAACUCAGGGACUUUCCAACGAGGACCAUCAGAACCUUAACACAGAGCAAGGGAGGCAUAAGGACUUGCUCUUACUACCUGAAUUGCGAGAUUCUUAUGAGAACUUAACACUGAAGCUGCUGCACAUGUACUCCUGGCUGGACCAGAAUGUAGAGUUCAAGUUUGUCCUUAAAGCAGAUGAUGACACAUUUGCUCGCUUGGACCUCCUUAAGGAGGAGCUAAAGGGGAAAGAGCCAAACCGGUUCUAUUGGGGCUUCUUCUCAGGGAGAGGGAGAGUGAAAACCGCUGGGAAGUGGCGGGAAAGCUCUUGGGAGCUCUGUGACUACUACCUGCCCUACGCACUGGGUGGGGGCUACAUCCUCUCGGCUGACUUAGUACGUUAUGUGCAUCUUAACGCAGGUUACUUCAAGACAUGGCAGAGUGAGGAUGUGUCAUUGGGCGCCUGGCUGGCGCCAGUGGAUGUUCGUCGGACGCAUGACCCACGCUUUGACACAGAGUAUAAAUCGCGUGGUUGCAACAACAAGUACUUGGUGACACAUAAGCAGAGCUUGGAGGACAUGUUGGAAAAACACCAGACUCUGCAGCGCGACGGCAGGCUCUGCAAGGAGGAAGUCAAGCUGCGACUUUCCUAUGUGUACGACUGGAGUGUGCCGCCCUCACAGUGCUGCCAAAGGAAGGAUGGCAUUCCUUAAGUUUUUGUCCUUUUUACAAGGCCCUGAAGUUGCCUUCCGAUUUGUCUGACGGAGUCAGGAAAAAAGUAAGGGAAUAAUGUUUUUUUGACCAAUUCUCUAGUGUUGCACAAGUUACAGUUAUGUAACACGUUCCAAAAAACAAAGCAAAUGCCUUAAUGCUGAUAGAAACCCCAUUCCAGAUUUGGAAAACCUUUACACUAAUUGUGAAACACAAAAAGGACAAUUUCACUGCUUUUACAUCACAUAGGAGCAGGUCUGAGCUCAGUCUUUAGAGUAUUAAUGUUCAUUUAGAAUAGGUUUGACAAAUUAAAAGUAUUGACCUGGUCCAGUGUGGCCUGGAUAGAGGAAAAGAAAUUACAUUUCAGUCUCUCAAGUCUCUUUGGUAUGUGUCAUGCAGUAUAACAUUUAGUUUGUGAUGCAGAACAUUUAAAGAAAUCAAACUUUAAAGCUUUUACUAUGAUGUCUAAUACCAUGCAGUGGAAGGUGUUACAACUUUAAGUGGUGUAACUGAAUUGGCUGAAAAAUGUGACCCCUUAACUCUAGAACAGGAAGCCAACUUCAGCCUUGUGUCCUCUUCGACCAUUUAACAGCUUUUGCCUUCUUAUUGGGACCCAUGCUCAUGUCACCACCAGUUUACCACGUUGGUGGUCUAUGUCUAUCCGCAGUCUGUGUUUCUUCUGCUGUACUUCCUUUUUAUGGUUGUUUCAGUGUGGUAGAUAAUACAGGGAAACACAGACGGACAAAUCUUAACCUACCGUGAUGUCCGAAUUUUUAUUUUGUGAAAGCAUUUUUUAUUUGUAUUUUAUUUAUUGUUAAUUUAUUCUGCAGGAAACAAAACCCACUGGUAUUGGGAUAAAAAGAACAGUGGCCGUGGUUGCUGCUUGCAAGUAAACAUUUGUAUUUAUAAACGUGUUAGGAGAAAUAAUGUACAGUUCAAAGAAUGAAUGGGUCAGAAAUGUUCAAACGUUCAAAAUACAAAUGUUGUAAAACGCUUGUUUAUUGUUGUCGGUACAACAAGGUCUCAUGUGUUUGGAGGUGCAAAGAAUGUGUAAGAGAAAAUGGUUGAAUGUGUUGUGUUCAGCAGGCCUUUGUUUUCUUUACACUGGAGCCUAUGCGAGGAGAUUUACAUUUCCAAAGCAACAGUCACACGUUUCACACAAAGUUUAGGUCAGAUACCAAGCUAAUUGUGAAUGUUUGUUUGCAGCAAACCACAGAUUCAGAUUGAAAAACUUGAUAUAGAAUACCAGCUGUCACUCGGUCACUUUGGUAAACCAGAAACAUGGUUAUAAAGUCCAUAAAUCAUUAAUUAUUGAUCACUUGUUUUGUUUUCUGAUGUUAAGCUCUCCGAACGUACCAUGUGAUGUCAGUAUCGGUGUCCCAAACCUUGUGAAAUAUGUACAGUGUAGAUUAAAUGGUACGAUUUGUUGAAGCACCAACAACUGAGGAAAGCUGCAAAAAGAUCUACGUUCAUGCUCGUUAUUUAUGUGUCUGUUACGUUUUUGUGAACAAUGACAUGACUAUUUUCUCACUGUUUUCACUAGCAAAUUAUGAUUCAAUAUCAAUGUUUGUUUUUACGUACAUGGUCAGUCUCCCUGAAUGUUUUAUUAAAACACUAAGUGUA